GGGUGCAUAGCUCAAUGGUAGAGCAUUUGUCUUACAAACAAAAAGUUGAAAGUUCAAGUCCUUCUGUGCCCA
rnacentral:tRNA from 1 species